AUUGAACGCUGGCGGCAGGCCUAACACAUGCAAGUCGAGCGGAUGAAGGGAGCUUGCUCCUGGAUUCAGCGGCGGACGGGUGAGUAAUGCCUAGGAAUCUGCCUGGUAGUGGGGGAUAACGUCCGGAAACGGGCGCUAAUACCGCAUACGUCCUGAGGGAGAAAGUGGGGGAUCUUCGGACCUCACGCUAUCAGAUGAGCCUAGGUCGGAUUAGCUAGUUGGUGGGGUAAAGGCCUACCAAGGCGACGAUCCGUAACUGGUCUGAGAGGAUGAUCAGUCACACUGAAGCGAAGAAGCAACCGAGAGACAAACGGAGGGCACAGGGGGGAAAUUUGGAGGAAGGGGGAAAGACUAAACCGGGCAGCCCGGCGUAUGUAAAGAAGUUAUAGUAAUUUUAGGACUUUUGAAGUGAGGGGAAAGAGCAGAAGUUAGAUCCAUAGGUUUUUGGGCGAUAGAAAAAAAAAGGACCCGGGCAGGUUCCGAG
rnacentral:rRNA from 1 species